UUUUUUUAGGGUUUUUGUUGUUAUUAGGUAUUUUAAGGUCCUAAGACCACAAACAAAACCAAAAUACACAAACAAUAUAUACAAUCAUAAGAUAUGGCUCAAAUGAGCAAAGUGAAAAUGAGAUAAACAUAAACAAGUUCAAUGAAAUAUAAAUGGAAAUGAAUGAUAAAUGACUAAAAUUUAAAUUGCAUAAAGUAAAUGACUUGAAAGUAAAGAAAUAUUAACAAG
rnacentral:lncRNA from 1 species